rnacentral:rRNA from 1 species
UACAUAGGUAGCGAGCGUUAUCCGGAAUGACUGGGCGUAAAGGGAGCGUAGGUGGUUACCUAAGUCUUGUGUGAAAGCCCUUGGCUCAACUGAGGGAUUGCACAAGAUACUGGGCAGCUAGAGUGUGAGAGAGGCAAGUGGAAUUCCUAGUGUAGCGGUAGAAUGCGUAGAGAUUAGGAGGAACACCAGAGGCGAAGGCGACUUGCUGGCUCAUAACUGACACUGAGGCUCGAAAGCGUGGGGAGCAAAC